rnacentral:lncRNA from 1 species
GAGCGGGGGCGGGGCCCUGGGGGCGGGCUCUGCGGCCUGUGGCUGCAGAGGGACGCAAGAGCAUAAACUGAAAUCCCACAUCCCCGUGGAGGAACUUGGGGAUAAGAUGCAAAGCGCAGCAAAUAGGAGCCACUCUUUCAGAGAUGACAGACCACCUGGUUUCGAGGAGCAGCAGACAGCGUGAAUGAAUGAAGUUGGCCAGGUAAAGAACUGAAAUGCAGACAGGAAAUGGGACUUGCCUGACAUGGAGCAGGUGGUAGGUGGCAGAGGAAGAUUGGCCACUCCAUAACCUGUGCUCUCUCCAAUUCUCUGGACUAACUGUCCAUACAGAUGAUUGCCCUGGGACUGAGCUUAGGGAUUUCCAAACUCUUGCUAUUUAACAACUGUCAAAGACUGAGAAACAGGGCUUAUAUUUUAUUCAAGCUACCCAGAAUAGGGCCUCUCUCUAAUCUAUACUUCCUUUUCGGGGAAGAGAUAUUUGGCUUCAGGCAGCAGUAGCGCCUGCUCCCUAGGGAAGUGGUUAGAGGUACCCACUUCCCCAUAUCAGCAGAAACAAAACAGGCAGGAGUCUCUCUGCUUGAGGAUCUGCCUAAAUAGGGAAGUGAGAAUUGGCAACCACUUCUCCCUCCACCAAUGGGAAUCCUAGAUGGAGGGAACUGGGUGGGAGAUGGCAGGGGUGGGCAGAGUGGCAGCAUUUCUGUUUCUUAAAUCCAUAACUCCAUCUUCAGACACUUGAUUCCACAGCCAUGUUCUGUGUGUUGACUGGAAUCACCUGGGAAGUUUUAGUCCUGUGAUACCACCUGGAACCACGGACAGAGUGAGGACACAGCAAGAAGAUGAUCAUCUGCAAGCCAAGAAGAGGGGUCUCACCAGAAUCCUAUAAUGCUGGCACCCUGAUAUUUUACUUUC